UGUUUAGAUACCACUUUUGAACUUCGGAGGCCCCGAAGACUCCUGGAAAUCAUGACUCUGAGAAUGUAGUGGAGCUUCUCUUAGUCUCAUCCUGGUAUCAUCUUUGCAGAAGGCAUACACAGCUAAGUUUGUCAAUGGAAAUGAUCAAUAUCGAAGAGAUGGCACCGAGUACC